AGACGUCUACAUUAGACUACCCCUGUACGUCCCAGACCGUAAACUAUGCUCGCUAGGUGUCAGGCAUGGCGCGACCGUGUCUGGUGCCGCAGGGAAGCCGUGAAGCGAGCCACCUGGGAAGUACGGCCGCAAGGCUGAAAACUUAAAAGGAAUUGGCGGGGGAGCACCACAACGGGUGGAGCCUGCGGUUUAAUUGGACUCAACGCCGGGAAGCUCACCGGAUAAGACAGCGGAAUGAUUGCCGGGCUGAAGACUCUGCAUGACUAGCUG
rnacentral:rRNA from 1 species